rnacentral:rRNA from 1 species
UACGGGAGGCAGCAGUGGGGAAUCUUGCGCAAUGGGCGAAAGCCUGACGCAGCCAUGCCGCGUGAAUGAUGAAGGUCUUAGGAUUGUAAAAUUCUUUCACCGGGGACGAUAAUGACGGUACCCGGAGAAGAAGCCCCGGCUAACUUCGUGCCAGCAGCCGCGGUAAUACGAAGGGGCUAGCGUUGCUCGGAAUUACUGGGCGUAAAGGGCGCGUAGGCGGAUCGUUAAGUCAGAGGUGAAAUCCCAGGGCUCAACCCUGGAACUGCCUUUGAUACUGGCGAUCUUGAGUAUGAGAGAGGUAUGUGGAACUCCGAGUGUAGAGGUGAAAUUCGUAGAUAUUCGGAAGAACACCAGUGGCGAAGGCGACAUACUGGCUCAUUACUGACGCUGAGGGCGCGAAAGCGUGGGGAGCAAACGAGGAUUAGAUACC